CAGUAGCCACGGGAAUACGUAGGUGGCAAGCGUUGUCCGGAAUUAUUGGGCGUAAAGCGCGCGCAGGUGGUUUAAUAAGUCUGAUGUGAAAGCCCACGGCUCAACCGUGGAGGGUCAUUGGAAACUGUUAAACUUGAGUGCAGGAGAGAAAAGUGGAAUUCCUAGUGUAGCGGUGAAAUGCGUAGAGAUUAGGAGGAACACCAGUGGCGAAGGCGGCUUUUUGGCCUGUAACUGACACUGAGGCGCGAAAGCGUGGGGAGCAAACAGGAUUAGAUACCCCCGUAGUCCCUGUCUCUUAUAA
rnacentral:rRNA from 1 species